GGCUGUUGAUGUGCAAAUGUGAGUCAUAUUGAGAAGGUCUGAAUAGGGAGGUGUGACGUAAAGAGGGGACACAAGGCAGGUGCUUAUCUCUCGGCAGUCAAAGGCACUGGAUGUCAUAUCAUGGGAACUACCUUCCAAAGAAACAGCUUUAGUGUUUCCGUUCAGCACACAAGGGAGGAGAGAAAUAUAAGUUUUGGAAACGAACAAAAAAAGCCCUCAAUUUUGUGAGAUUCCUUGAAAGAUUGUGAAAAGUCCAUUUUACGUGGCUGUGUGCUCAUACCAAGUCUAAGGAAACUAGACCUGAGAGUGAUGUUUGGAGUUUGAAUUAACGCCCAACUUCUGAGAGGAGGCUGCUGGGCAUUUGCACCGGACCAGUCCCACUGGAUCUACAGUUGCUGAUUUGAGUUGAAGAAGCAUCUGCUUAAUGUCUGGUCAGAACUUUCAAGUAACGCAGAAAUCCAUGGUUAAAAAGCUGGAUUCUCCAACUUACUGCAAAGGGUAAACACGGACCCUAGAACUCAUCUGCCAGGAAGAAUGAAUUGCAGGAUUUCUCACUAAAGCAAACACAGGUGUUCAUUCAUUCUGACGGAGGGGGGCUCACCGAGUCAGCGUACAAGUUACCUGGAGGAAGAGGGGCUGAACCUUUGCCCACAGCAUCGGAGGCAUGGAGUCUUAACCACAGGACCACCAGGGAAGUCCUUACAUUUAUUUUCUGAAUUACUCUCCCUGAGAAAUAAGUAAAUGUAUGAAAAGAGAACCAGGAAAAUAAAAGGAGGAUAAGAACAGAGGAAAAAUAUGCUUGAUCAUUCAAUCUUGGUUUCCUUCUCAAUGUGGCAACUGUGUUUUUAGGAUCACAGUUCAUUUCCCCAUCUUUCCCUUGUACCACAGGGAAGCAUCUUCUGCUGCCAUUUUCAGUCGAUUCAAAGCUCUGUUGAAAACAAAAUGAUGCCAGAAUCAUCAAAAGGAAGGGCACUCAGUGUAGGGUUCUUUGUUCUUCGAUCUGGCCAAGUUUUGUCCCAAGGUACAGACAUCAUUUAGCUGUUCCAUUUUCUGAGGUUAGCCUUUUCCAACUUCCUCAGUUUCUUUUUGUCAUUUUGAAAAACCUGACUUUUGUAAAGGAAGCAUCCGCUGAGGAUGGGGGACUCCUGGUGGGGAGGACCCCUGGACCUCCUCUCAGCAGGCACGGGACUAACUUCUUCUCGCCAUCACCAUGAGCUUCUCAGGAAUGGAAGAGUCAUGUGACACAACAGACAGCCUGCUUUGUCGGUUUACAACUCCCAGGAGAGGAACACUAUGAAAUCUUCUUUAAAGUGGGAUUUAUUGUAAGUCAACUGCAGUGAAAGACUUCUCAAAUUAAAAGUAGCUACUGGCGUGAAAUUAUAUGUAACUAGACAGGGCUUCCCUGGUGGCUUAGAUGGUAAAAAAUCUGCAUUCCAUGCAGAAGACCUGGUUUGAUCCUUGGGUUGGGAAGAUCCCCUGGAGGAGGGCAGGGCAACCCAUUCCAGCAUUUUUGCCUGGAGAAUUCCUUGGACAGAGGAGCCUGAGGGGCUAUAGUCCACAGGGUCACAAAGAGUCGGACACGAUUAUGCAACUAACACUUUCACCUUCAGACAAGAUUACAAUUAAUUGUGUAAGGAUUUUGAGAGUGUCCUCAAAAUGUUAUGAUCACCAUGGCUUUUCUACUAAUAUUAAGAAAUUCGCGACUACUUAUAAAUCUAUAUCAAGGAUGACAAUGGAUAGAAUUCUGUUGAAAGGAGAAAUAACGCUUAAAGAUUACCAAGAGAUUCGUUUUACCCAAAUCUUAAGAAGUGAUUAAAUAUUUACUUAGAGGUUGUUUUUGUGGACAAAUAAUUUUGUUUAACCAUUGAUCAAAAUAGAGUUUUAAGUGAAAAAUAAAAGGGAACUAAAUCUCCUCACAAACAAGUCAUUUGCAUGUGUGAUGGGAGCAAAACUGAGUUUAUCAAUCUGGUGUCCUGCUCCUUGAAUCUCUCCCUUCCACAAAUCAGCAAUUCUGGGGGUCCCUGGGGGCUCAGAUGAUAAAGACUCUGCCUGCAAUGCAGGAGACCCAGGUUCGAUUCCUGGGUCAGGAAGCUCCUCUGGAGGCGGGCAUGACAACCCACUCCAGUAUUCUUGUCUGGAGAAUCCCAUGGAUAGAGGAGCCUGGCAGGUCCAUGAGGUUGCAAAGAAUUGGACACAACUGAACCCCGAAGAAGGCACCUAUUUGGUGCCGUGGAGUGAUGCAGAAGGAAGAUCUUCUGAUAGCACCUGAUGUAUCUAAGUACCAGGAGGAGAAGGUGGUCAAGCUCAGGUCACUAGGGACACCUGCACAUAGCUUUGUAAAUCCCUUGAAGAUGUAACAUGAGUUUUCCAAAUUCAGGUAAAUAGUGAGAAUGCAUUUCAUAGUCAUCUUUCUUCUUCACCGCUUCUCUGCUUAUCUCCAUUGUUGGUUGGCAUAGCCUUCCUCUAAGUUUGCUUCUUCG
ensembl:lncRNA